AGCGAACGCUGGCGGCAGGCUUAACACAUGCAAGUCGAGCGGGCCCUUCGGGGUCAGCGGCGGACGGGUGAGUAACACGUGGGAACGUGCCCUUCGGUUCGGAAUAACUCAGGGAAACUUGAGCUAAUACCGGAUACGCCCUUAUGGGGAAAGGCUUGACUGCCGAAGGAUCGGCCCGCGUCUGAUUAGCUUGUUGGUGAGGUAACGGCUCACCAAGGCGACGAUCAGUAGCUGGUCUGAGAGGAUGAUCAGCCACACUGGGACUGAGACACGGCCCAGACUCCUACGGGAGGCAGCAGUGGGGAAUAUUGGACAAUGGGCGCAAGCCUGAUCCAGCCAUGCCGCGUGAGUGAUGACGGCCUUAGGGUUGUAAAGCUCUUUUAUCCGGGACGAUAAUGACGGUACCGGAGGAAUAAGCCCCGGCUAACUUCGUGCCAGCAGCCGCGGUAAUACGAAGGGGGCUAGCGUUGCUCGGAAUCACUGGGCGUAAAGGGCGCGUAGGCGGCUUACCAAGUCGGGGGUGAAAGCCCGUGGCUCAACCACGGAAUGGCCUUCGAUACUGGCAGGCUUGAGACCGGAAGAGGACAGCGGAACUGCGAGUGUAGAGGUGAAAUUCGUAGAUAUUCGCAAGAACACCAGUGGCGAAGGCGGCUGUCUAGUCCGGUUCUGACGCUGAGGCGCGAAGCGUGGGGAGCAAACAGG
rnacentral:rRNA from 1 species